AGUGAACGCUGGCGGUAGGCCUAGCACAUGCAAGUCGAACGGCAGCACAGUAAGAGCUUGCUCUUACGGGUGGCGAGUGGCGGACGGGUGAGGAAUACAUCGGAAUCUACUUUUUCGUGGGGGAUAACGUAGGGAAACUUACGCUAAUACCGCAUACGACCUACGGGUGAAAGCAGGGGAUCUUCGGACCUUGCGCGAUUGAAUGAGCCGAUGUCGGAUUAGCUAGUUGGCGGGGUAAAGGCCCACCAAGGCGACGAUCCGUAGCUGGUCUGAGAGGAUGAUGAGCAAGCAGGGAGAAGAAGCGAGGGACAGAGGAAUACGGGAGGCAGCAGUGGGGAAUAUGUGACAAUGGGCGUAAGGCUGAAAAAGACAUACGGCGGGGAUGAAGAAGGCAAGCAGGUUGCAAAGCCCUUUUGUUGGGAAAGAAAAGCAAAAGGUUAAUAACCCGCUGGUCAGACGGUACCGUAAGAAUAAGAAACGGCUAGGUUCGUG
rnacentral:rRNA from 1 species